CCUGGCGGAAGGCUAAAAUAACCUCCGAGUUUUUAAACUUAUGGAAUCUGUCUGAACAAAUUUUGAACCUUUGAAAUAUUUUAAAACUUUCAGCAACGGAUCUCUUGGUUCUCGCAUCGAUGAACAACGCAGCGAAAUGCGAUAAGUAGUGUGAAUUGCAGAAUUCCGUGAAUCAUCGAAUCUUUGAACGCACAUUGCGCCUUCUGGUAUUCCGGGAGGCAUGCCUGUUCGAGAGUCAUUGACACAAACCACAUCGUCGACCCUCACCUUUCUAAAGGGGGGUGGGGGGUCGUCGGCGGUCCUGGUGGAUGAGGGGGGGAAUAGUUGGCAAAUAUAUAUAAUAAUCUCCUCCCCACCGAAAUUGAGAGGCAGUCUGUGAGUGAUAAAAACCCACACAUGUCCGUUUAUGGCGUUGUAUAGACGGCUCUCAAAUUGUGGAGCCAACUCUGUUCCCUUGUAACAAACUUCCCUGGGUCUUACCUCGACUAGUCUUCCAAAGCUCCUAAAAUCUCAAGGGUUUGACCUCGGAUCAGGU
rnacentral:misc_RNA from 1 species